rnacentral:rRNA from 1 species
AACUUUUAGCUCUCUGGCUCUGUCCCGUCCUCUUGUAGAACGUUGUGACGAGUCUUAGAACCUUCCUGGUUGAAAGCGCUUCUGCCCUUUAUUGGGUUGGUCGUGUGAUCUGCCUCUUUUACUGUGAGAAAAACAAAGUGCUCAAAGCAGGCUUUACAGCUUGAAUGCGUUAGCAUGGAAUAAUAAGAUAGGACUUUGUUUCUAUUUUGUUGGCUCUGAGGAACAAAGUAAUGAUUGAUAGGGAUAGUUGGGGGUGCUCGUAUUUAACGGUCAGCGGUGAAAUGCAUGGACCCGUUAAAGACGAACCUAUGCGAAAGCAUU